rnacentral:miRNA from 1 species
UUGCAUAGUCUCAAAAGUGA